GGGAGUCACAAUUACUGUAGUGAUUAGUAAGACUAGAACAGCAGUCAGAGGAGUCUGACACUAUGAAUGGGAAUAAAUGGUUAAUAGAACCGUCUCUUACAGCAAAACAGAUGAGGAGCUAAACAAGGAUAUUGCUGAAAACGUAAAGUGCUUGCCACACAAACUUGGGGGCCUUAGUUUGAACCCUUGGCUCCCAGAGAAAAGAAAAACAAGACUGGGUGCAGUGGUGGAUUGGUGGUAUAGAGAUGAACCCAGCUGCCUUCCAAAAACUCAGGCAAAGCAGCAGAUACCUAUUACCCCAGCAGUGGGGGAGCUGGGACAAGGACCAUCCCUGAGGCUUGCUGGUCAGUCAGCCUCAAUUAAUUGGUAAGCCCUAGAUUCAGUGACAGAUGAUGUCUCAGCAAGUAAAACUUGACACCUUGAAAUCAAUCCUGGUAGAAGGAAAGAAUACACUCCUGCAAGCUGUCCUCUGACCUCCUCCACACACAUACACAGCAUGUGCA
rnacentral:lncRNA from 1 species